UUUUUUUUUUUUUUUUUUUUUUUUUUUUUUUUUUUUGAAUAGCCCGCGGCUACAAUAAAAACAGUAAAGGGGGCC
rnacentral:ribozyme from 1 species